CUUGUGUUUUUCAUUAUUUUGUUUUAUAAUUUGGUCUCUGCUAGAAUGCUUUUGAUCUUUCUCAAUACAUAUGCCAUGGGAAUCAGAGCUCGAGGCUCUUGACUGACUUGGUCUUGAGUCCCCUGACCCCAUGCUUUCCUAUACUCUUGUGUGAAUUUUCUUAAUUCCGCCGUGCCACUCACAUUCAGGUUCGUUCGUAUGGAGGUUACCUCCACAAUUGGCACCUGAACAGGGACAUGAAGUGAAAGGAGUUGCCUGAGCGACUAGUUAAAGAUAAAAGACCGGUGGAACCCAAAAAGCAUAGGGACUUGCCAGAAGAAAGAGAGGAGACUCUUCGACAACAAACUUUCCCAUUGUUCAUUACUCAUAUGCGAGCUCAUUCAAAUCUGCCUGGACCAUUAUCCCAAGAAAGCGGAGAAAUAUCGUGGCUCCCUGCAAAAUGACUGAAACCCAGAAGAGGGUGAGAUUCAACACAGAUCCACCACUAGAGGAAAGAAUGGCAAAGCUGAAUAUACGGCCUUCAAUAACUGUCACCAACACAACUCAGAAAACCCUUCCCAUGACGUGGGGAGCAAUAAAGAAGACCACGUGUGAAGCUGACAAGAUACUGGAGGGAUUGUGCAUGCCAAAGAUGCCGGCUAACACGUUUCUAGCUAUGCUUGCUCUCAUUAACACUACGUCUGGCGACGUCUCCUCCGACAAAGCUGAAAGCAACAACAACGACUAGCUGCGUGUGCUGUGAGGCUCAGAUACGUGGCCGAUAAACAAAAAGGGGGAGAUGUGGGAAACCAGAGAGGACGCAGAGGACAGUAACUUGGAAAAACCUGCGGAGGGCACAUGACGGCUGAGUGACUGUAAACAUGUUCUGAAAACAGAAUCAAUCUCAAAGGAAAACCGACUGAGAGAAGGCAGUCACGUAGCCCAGUGGUGCCAGCUCCGGGUUGAAGCUUAGCUAGCCUCCCUAGUAGUGAUAAUAUACACAAGGCGUUCUGUUUUGGCUCUUCUGAAGUCUCAUGCCUUGUGUUUUUCAUUAUUUUGUUUUAUAAUUUGGUCUCUGCUAGAAUGCUUUUGAUCUUUCUCAAUACA